rnacentral:rRNA from 1 species
CUCGUAGGCGGCUUGUCGCGUCGUCCGUGAAAACCCGGGGCUCAACUCCGGGCUUGCGGGCGAUACGGGCAGGCUAGAGUUCGGUAGGGGAGACUGGAAUUCCUGGUGUAGCGGUGAAAUGCGCAGAUAUCAGGAGGAACACCGGUGGCGAAGGCGGGUCUCUGGGCCGAUACUGACGCUGAGGAGCGAAAGCGUGGGGAGCGAACA